rnacentral:rRNA from 1 species
GAGGCGUGAUGACGAGGCACUACGGUGCUGAAGCAACAAAUGCCCUGCUUCCAGGAAAAGCCUCUAAGCAUCAGGUAACAUCAAAUCGUACCCCAAACCGACACAGGUGGUCAGGUAGAGAAUACCAAGGCGCUUGAGAGAACUCGGGUGAAGGAACUAGGCAAAAUGGUGCCGUAACUUCGGGAGAAGGCACGCUGACACGUAGGUGAAGUGAUUUACUCAU